AGUUGUUUACACAACCGUACAUAUUAUUCGCACCCGACAUUUCCACAUCUCUCUGGGGGCUUUUACACAAUAUUUCACAUCGUGACACACAAUUCCGCGGUCUUUUUUAUGUAGUUUUUAAAUCGUUUGUAAAAAUGUAUUUAAUUGGAACGAGAGCUCACAUCGCCGAAUUCUCAAUUGUUGAAACUAACAAAUAAUUGACCAACAAAAUUAGCAGCACCGAUAACGGGUAUGCACAGAUGGAGUAUUACUGAUUGAAUGGUCGCUUCACCUUUUUUGCAAAGUAUCGCAAGAUGCAAUAUACUCGGCAAGCUAUGAUGAAACGUGGAAUUUCAUAAAUACAUUAUUGCCCUGAUCACGAUUAUGCUGCAUUAUCGUGAUGAUGAUAUUGUGAAUGAAAAAGGACAUGGUCAGCAUGCCAGUAAGAGCAGGAAAUGUUGACUGAAGUCUCCAGCUGUUAUCCCAAGCUGCGGUCGACAUAUUAAUACCCCAACUGGACGAUUUCGUGAUUACGAAAGCGACGAGAUACAUGACAGCAAUCGUUCCUGUAAAUAAAUUGGAAACUUUUAUAUCAGUUUCCUUAUUCGCAAAA